CUCAUCUUCCUAGGCAUGGAUCAUCUUAGACUACUUUAGCAGACAUGAAUAAUAAAUAGCAUGCUCAAAAUUUAAACAUCGUAAAAGGAUUUUUCAUUGAUAAUAAGAAUUUAAACAAGCUCCAAAAAAUUAAAAGAGUAAGAACUACAAUGCCCUGAUACAUUGCUAGGGCUUCAUCCAGCCCUAGACUAGGUGUUCAGCUACACAUGGUGGCCGGAUGUCCUUCCAUCUUCAAAUGAAAGCCUUCACCUCCCAUUCUUCCAAAAAUAUCACAAACUAUUCUCUUUCCCCCCUCUUUUCUUUUCUUUUCUUUUUCUCCCAACCGAACCUC
rnacentral:lncRNA from 1 species